AUUGAACGCUGGCGGCAGGCCUAACACAUGCAAGUCGAACGGUAACAGGAAGAAGCUUGCUUCUUUGCUGACGAGUGGCGGGCGGGUGAGUAAUGUCUGGGAAACUGCCUGAUGGAGGGGGAUAACUACUGGAAACGGUAGCUACUACCGCAUAACGUCGCAAGACCAAAGAGGGGGACCUUCGUGCCUCUUGCCAUCGGAUGUGCCCAGAUGGGAUUGGCUAGUCGGUGGGGUUACGGCUCACCUAGUCGACGAUCGCUAGCUGGUCUGAGAGGAGGACCAGCCACACUGGAACUGAGCCACGGUCCAGACUCCUACGGGAGGCAGCAGUGGGGAAUAUUGCACAAUGGGCGCAAGCCUGAUGCAGCCAUGCCGCGUGUAUGGAGAAGGCCUUCGGGUUGUAAAGUACUUUCAGCGGGGAGGAAGGGAGUAAAGUUAAUACCUUUGCUCAUUGACGUUACCCGCAGAAGAAGCACCGGCUAACUCCGUG
rnacentral:rRNA from 1 species